rnacentral:lncRNA from 1 species
GAUACACUAAGUCUAAAAUUGGUAAAACAACAAGAGAGCGAAAUGGAAAUUAAUUUCUUGGAUGUCCAGAUUAGGAUCGAGAAUGGAGAGUACAACCUUAGCAUUUUCCAUAAGGAAACUUAUAAACCAUUAUUCAUACCAGCAACAUCGCAAGAGCCCUGGUCAUACAUGACGGCCGCAUUUAGAUUCUUAUUACAACGGUUGAAUACCCACUGUACAACUUAUGAAAGAGCCAGAUGAAAGAGCUACGUUGGGUUAUAGAUCAAGCUAUAAGACAUGGAUACAGUAAGAAUUUGAUUAUCAACAUGUGGAAUAAAAUAGCCAAGAGAUAUGACAAGAGGAAUAAUCCAGUCCUCGACACUCACAGGCCGUUCGUUAAUAUCGAAAUUAACCCACUUACCUUGAGGUAUAGACGAAAAAUUGAAAAGUGUACCAACUCGCGAUUG